rnacentral:lncRNA from 1 species
AGCGCCGCGGGUGGGGAUGCGGGAGGCUGAGCGCACCGGCCAGCUAGCCCCUUUGUGCGGCGGGGGCUGCGGAGUGCUCCCUCCAAGACCGGUUGCACCCCGCUUUCCUGGCCAGGACUCUGGGCGCGGCAGCUACAAAGACGACGCCGGCUGCGCUCGCGGGACCAGAGGGAGGGAGGCUGCGGACGAGUGCGGGGAGGAGUUUGAGAUGGGAGGCGCUUGCAGGGGCUCCCCCAGUUCUGCGCUGUGAGCCGGGGCACAAAGAGCCCUCUGCACUAGCGCCGCAGGACCGCGGACCCGAGUUGGAGGCAUCUGUCCACCCAUGUGGUUCCAGACACGUUCAUGUGGCCACCAUGACCCCGUCGGCAUCACAGGGGUAACCAAGGUGAUCCUCCCUCUCUUCCUGUGUCCACUGGGGAUGGUAGAGACCAGCUUAAUGCUUUGAGAUCAGAUCCAUCACGAAAUCCGUAUGUCCUGAGACCUCCUGAAUCUUAAGAGAGCAGCAAGUUCCUGGGACAGAGGAGACAGAAGGGAAUUUCCAGGUUCUUCAGGACGUUCACAACCACACUGAGAAGCAUCUUUGCAGAUAAGUAUUUAAACUUACCAGCCCAUAGCCUACCAGCCUGCCCUCUUCUGGUCUGUGCAGGAAAGUGUAGUAUCCUAGAAUGCCAAAGUGGGAGGGGAAAUGGGUGAUGUAGCUCAUUCUCUUUUCUACCUCUAUGGAAGAAAGAAAGAGCCUGUCCCCAUUUUGUGGGGUCCCAGAAAGGGUGAUUUUCACACUUCACAUUUGGCGUUAGGGCUAGUAUUUCACAAACAUUACCGUCUGGAACUUUUGAAGGCUGAGUUAAAUGACUUCAUCUUGUGUACUUGUAGAACUGCUAUUAGAAGGAGGCUGGGGACUCCCUGAUGAUGUGAACCAGCCCUUCUCUUCUCAGUUUCAGCACUUUGUGAUCAUAUUUAUAAACCUUGGACAGGGCUCCUUGGCCUUAGAGUUAAGUGAAGAGUUAACACUGUGACUUUAGAUGCAUUUUUCUCAGUGUAAGUGUCUGAGCUCAUCUCCAGUUCUGGACUCGUGCCCCCACUCCCGGGUGCUGACAGCAAGCUCUGAAGAUAUGCUGAGAGAGCUCCCUGACUCUCCUGACUCAGGUCUGCCAGUUGAUGAAGACAGCACAGUUGUUACCAAAAACAAAACCUGGCAGAUGGUCCUAGGUCAGGAUUAGUGGUCAUUCUCUGGUCUUCUCCAGACUGGUGACACAGGGUGGUCUUAAAAGAGUCCUAGUCCAGCCUCUGGCUCCCCGAAUUUCCUCUGGUGCAUGGGGCAUCAGGAAAGGGCAGGGGAGAAGGAGGGGGAGCAGAAAAAUAACUGAGGCUGGGCAGAAGGGUCCCUUCCAUUUCCCAUCCAUUGCUUCAAACAAUGGGUGAUUACCGUGCACCUUGAGUGAAUGUCAAGGCAGGAAGGGUUCCAGGGCCACCCAGUGUGGCAGGAGCAGAGCUGGGAUCAGAAUUCUGGAUUCCUGACUCUCCGUUCAGCUGCUAUUCAGCUAUCACCAAGCUGCUGAGUUUGUCCUACUUUCUCCUGGGUCACAUUCUGCUGUUGUUGGGAAACAGGGAGUGAGUGAAGGGAACCUGGGAACCCUUCUCCCCUCACCUUUUAAGGAUGUUCUGGGGUGGAAUAAAGAGAGGUGGAGGGUGGGGUGCCUGGGCCCAGCCUCCCUGGCUCCUGGUCCUUCUUUCUUCAGCAGGGAGUUCUGGCAAGGCCUGGGCCUGGGGAGGGGGCCUGGGUGCAGUUUUCUCCUGCGGUGUGGUUGGCUCUUUUGUCUUCCAGGAUGGGCCUGUGGGGUCUGUGUGGGGAAGGAAGGAGCUGGGAGCCUGGGCUGCCUGUGUGUCGGCUGGAUGCUGCCAGGUGGCUCCAUCUGGGCCGCAUCUCCAGGACUCCUGGCCUGGACUUCUCUUUGGACCUCGGGUGACCUUGGAUUCUGGCCACAGUGACUUAGCGGUCAGACUCCGGUGGUUUUCUAGCCCGCUGGGUGACUCCCUGAAGAUCUCAUCCUCUUCACACCUGUUGGGAUGGAGCCUCCCAUGGAUAGGAACUCUUCCUGGUUGAUGCUCAGCAGAUGACUGAUCUGGCUCUGGAGGACAGCUCCAGGGGUAUGAGGGAGGCCUGGCAGCCCACUACUCCCUCCUCACCUGCUCGGGCCCUGCCUGCUGGGCCCUAUUGUCUGGGUCUGGGGGCCCUUUCCUGCCCCAUGUGAACUUGAUUCCUCCUCGCGUUUCUGCCGGUGACCAGACAGAGCCUGGCCUGGGCCAAGUCCCCACUGACCACACUUUCCCCAAGGCUGGGUCUCAAAGGACCCUACAGGAUGGGGACAGGAACAAGGAUGGGAGUCGGGGAGGGGCUGUCAGGCAGAGGGCAGAUGCAGCUCCUCGGGUGCCGCUGGCUGGAGUCCUUUGUCUCCAUUUGCUCAGUGCGUAAUUGUCAUUUUGUGGGGGACUUCCUUGGUGGGGCUUUUCCAUGCUUUUCCUCUCCCUGAUGGUUACAAAGAGGAGACAGUCAGGAUCUGGGAGGAGCUGGAGCCUUCCCCCUGUGCUGUUGAACUCUGGGAGGGGCAGCCAGAGGGGCUGAGAGUGCACCAUCCUGAAAAGAGAGGGUCUUUAAGAGAUAAGAUUUAGGCUAGGGAAAUUCACUAGAAAGAGACAGGUGGCCCUGGGUUUUUUUUCCUGCCAUCCAAAGGGAACCAGUCUUACCCAAAGGCUUAAGGGGUCACCUUAGCCCAGUCUCAGGACACUCUUCUCCAAUCAGAUCGCUGCUUCUAGUUGCACUGCUCCUGGAUUCUGUUCUUGGGGAACAGAAGGUGGCAGGACAGGCCCCACAAUCUGCAAUUCCAGCUCCCUCCAGAGGAGACAGUCCCAGCGUUUGCAAGAGAGCAGCUUGUGGCCUCCCUUAGGCAAGUUUAAAAGCCAGAUGUCCUUUUUCCCAGAAUGCGGAGUGGUGUGUACUAUUCAUCAGCUUGGGCUGCCACAGCACCAUGCCAGACUGGAUGGCUUAAACAUCAGGAAUUUAUUUUCUGCCAGUUCUGGAGGCUGGAAAGUCCAGAUCAAGGUGUUAAGACUUGGUUUCUGGUGAGGCCUCUCUCCUUGGCUUGCAGGUGGCACCUUCUCACUAUGUCCUCACAUGGCCUUUUCUCUGUGGAGAGGGACAGAGAGCAUGAGCAGGCUCUGGUGUCUCCUCCUCUUCUUAUAAAGACACUAAUAUCACCAUAUUAGGGCUUAAACCUAUGACCUCAUUUAACCUUAACCCCUUAAAGGUCCCAUCUCCAAAAACAGUCACAUAGCAGGCUACUGCUUCAACAUAUGCAUUUGGGGGAGGGGACACCAUUCAGUUCUUAACAGGGUGGUCACCGCAAACAUGGAAAGUCAGAGCCUUCUCCCCUUCAGAAUUCCCGCCCCCACCCAGGGAUGGGGAGGAGGAGCAGAGAGGUAUGGGAAGCAGACACGGAGAGUGGCAGGUACCAUGCUGGGGUGGCUCAGGAGUGCUUCGGAGGACAUAUGGAACUGGCAGGGCUCAGUGCAGGGAGGCGGAGGCCCUGGGAGAGCCGUGUCCUGAGAAGGGCCUGGGCUACAACCCUGGGCAAGUUACUUCACCUCUGAGCCUCCGAUGCUCUGUGAAAUGGAAGGAAUGUGCUUGCCUGUCAGGUGCAGGGAGAAUUCAGUGAGAUUGUGUGCCUAGCACAGUGCCUGACUCCCAGUAGGUGCUCAGCAAAUGCUCCCAUCCAUCUGGGAGUAUAGACUUAGGGUUUAUCUAUUUUUUUUUUUUUUUGGCUCUCUGGACUUUAAAACUCAGCAUCUUCUGAACCAGAGGCAUUUCUGAUUAGCCCUUCCCUACCUAUUUUCCUAGUAUCACUCUUUAAUCAGCUUGGGGAGGUGGCAGCAUUUCAUGGCCUCCGUAGUAACUCACAAUGCUUCCUGGGGUAUUUAAAUUCUACUCUCUCAUCAGCACUGAGCACCUACUUUGGGCCCUUUCCCGUGCUAGCCAUUUGGGGGAAAUAUAGGUGAAGAGUGGCUGGGGUUUGAACCUUUAGGAUUUCACAGCCAUGCUGGAUGGGAUAAAACCAGCUCACAUGGAGAAUCAGAGAAUGGGACAGUGCCACAAAACAGUCUACUGAGGCACAAGUUCUGAGUGCCUGGGAAGUGGUAGAGAGACCCCAGAGAGGGCUGCUGCAGUCUGGAACAGCUUCCUAGCAAGCUGUACCAAACAGGGCCUUGAAGGAUGAGAAAGAUCUGGCUGAGAUGAUACCCGACCCUCUAGGGAAAUUCUUAAAGUAACUUCUAGGAAAUGUCAUUGCUCCUUAAAAAAAAAAAAAAAAAAAAAAAAGCAGGUUCUAAUUCAAAUUCCGCUGCACUACUGAAGUAGUGCAGGACUUAUCAGAACCUUUAAAAUGCUAAUGGCAAUUUCAAAUACUCAGGGACAGGGCAUAGGAUGAAGUGUUCCUUGACUUUUAUGGCCGUAGAAUCUUUUUCUCAUGGAACAUCGUUUAGAACUGUGGGAGAUGCUAGGCUGGGGUUUCUAUGGGAAAAGUACAGCAGUGAUAGAAGAUGGCAUAAUUAGGGUACACUUAGGUGCUUUGUAGCAUUGGCUGAAAAGGAAGCAGACCGGGUGGGCGUGGGGGAGUCUCAACUUGGUUCCAGGAGCCAGGCCAGCUUGAUGCGUUUUUUUUUUUUCUAAUGGUGGGAGGGCAGGCCAAUAGUUGGAGAAACUAGAGGCCUGACAGUCGGUGAUGGAAGAGAUGUCUACUAAGCACGGUUGUCAGAUCUUUUGCGGAGAGAUGCGGGUGUGCGUGUGUCUGUCAGAGUGUAACAGGAUCCAGCCCUCUGGGAAGGGGCUGACCAGAACCAGGCAGGGGGUUUCUGUCUAGGACAAGUAGGGUCCAUUUUCAGGGGAGCUGAAAUAUUUGCAGGGGGUGCUCUGAGACCCACAGCCAAUAAAUAGGGAAGCAACAUGCUUUUGGGCAGGGUCCAUGUGGUUAGGGUUGAUUUUGAUGGGGCUGGGGGGCUUAGAGUUAGACCCCCUGCCCUGGUCAGGCCCCACUCCCUGGCUGGUGGGGGCGGGAGGCCUCUGAAGCUGCAGCUGGAGGGGCCGGGGCAGUGUUGCAUGGUGUGAUUAACCUACUAACCCAGGGCUCAGCCGGGACGCUGUGGCGUGUGACGAGGUGCCUGGCCUUCUGCCAACCAACUAACCCACUAACCAGGCCCGAGCAUGCCCUACUAACCACCCCCCCGCAGCCAGAUCCUACUAACUGUGCAGCUCAUGGGCCUUUCAAGGGGCUGGGAUAUGGGGGCAGCCAAGGCUCCAGAAGGCUCUGCCUAUGGGCUGGGAUCUUUGUGCAGACCCACGUUCCAGGACAGAGAAUGCAAAUAAGACUCACCAACUCUGCCACUUCCUGUUGAGUGAGUUUGAGUAAGUCACCUCACUUCUCUCAACCUCAGUUUCCUCAGUGGUAGAAUGCGAGUUCUGAUACCUUACAGGUUGCAGUGAGGAUUCCCGUCAAUAUAAGGGUCUCAGCACAUGGCAGACACCUAAAAAAAAAAAAAGUAUGAGGAUGGAGGAAGGCCCCUCAAACCUGGUUGAACACGUCUGCUGCCUAGGCCCUGGCCUCUCUGGGUGUUCUGCACACAGAUCCUUCUGCCUGGGGCAAGACACUUGGCUUUGAAUCCAUGUCACUUCCCCACAUUCUUCCUCCGUCUCAGCUUUCUUUUCUGUAGGCAGCUCUUUUGUUCGAUUACUAACCCGUCUAACCCCUGGGGUGCCUCAACUGCACCCCGAUCAUCCCUUAACAAACUAACGGACCUGCGUGCGUUCUUCCUUUUCUCUUAGCGACUCCUGUGUGUGUCUGCUGAGGUGCCCUGUCCGCUGGUGCUGUGCUCUGACUUACUAACCCAGCCCCUACUAACCCUGUUUUCUCUUCUUACUAACCCCAGCCCUGCCGAGCUCUGGGCUCCCCCCGGGGGCUGGUCCCCCUCCUUUUGGCAAGCAGAUGACCUGGGGCUACUGGCCCUGUAGACAGAUGUCCCACUUUGCUGCCCCAUAUUGGCUGUAAGAUCAGAGUCCACUGGGCCAGGUCUAAGGCAGGGGAUGGCCCUAUUAACAAGACUCAGAGGAGGAAGAGGUGGUCCUGUGGAUGUGGGAGGCUGGACUCUGAGUAUGACAUCUCUCCUAUGUGCAGAAGUCUGGUUGCCACUGGGAGUAGGUGGGACCAGGGAAAUCUCUGGGACGUGAGUGUGGAGGCCUGUUGGUCUAGACUCUAGACUGUGGAGCUCUGAGCUUUUGUGUCCUCUGGAAGGAAGCUGGGGAAGAAUCCUCUCCAUUGUUAAGUGACGGGGAUAGAAGCUGUCCUGCACAGGAAGUCACGAGGGGGGCGUAUCCCACGAGGAAGGCAGGAGGGGGCGUGCCCCUCACCGGAAAUUAGCAGAGGGGCGUGUCCCACACCGGAAGUCAGAAAGCGGAGCCUUUCUUACACCGGAAGUCAAUGAAGCGGGUCUUUCCUACGCUAAAAACCACUGAGUGGAGUAUUUAGUACACAGGAAGUCGGCCAGAGAAACAUUUCUCAUAUUUGAAGGCCGGAAAGAGGGACAUUUCUGACACCGGAAGUCAGUGAGAGGACUCUUUCCCACACAGGAAGUCAGCUAGAGAGCCGUCUCCCCUCUCUGGAGCCGAGAGAGGCCGGUUUCCCCCACCGUAGCCCACCUGGGAGGAAUUUUCCAGAGAUCACUGUCUGAUGACCCUGUCUUGGAAUUGGAGCCAUGCAAGUUACACUGACCACGUUUGGGUUGGGAUAUUGAGGAGGUUAUGGUUAAAAGCAUACGAUGGGAGAUCAUAUUGUACUUGCGAGUGAGACCCGGCUGGAGGAAUGUUUUAAUUCUUCGGAAAUACCAAGUGGUCUCUCUACUCGGGAGGCUGAGGCAUGAGAAUCGCUUGAACCCGGGAGAUGGAGGUUGCACUGAGCCGAGACUCCAGCCUGGGCGACAGAGUGAGACCUCGUCUC